ACGGGUGAGUAACGCGUGAGAAUUUACCUUUAGGAAGAGAAUACCAGUUAGAAAUAACUGUUAAAACUCUAUAUGCCUUUUCGGUGAAAAAAGAAAUUUGCCUAAAGAAAAGCUCGCGUCUGAUUAGUUAGUUGGUGGGGUAAAGGCCUACCAAGACGAUGAUCAGUAGCUGGUCUGAGAGGAUGAUCAGCCACACUGGAACUGAGAUACGGUCCAGACUCUUAAGGGAGGCAGCAGUGGGGAAUUUUUUGCAAUGAGCGAAAGCUUGACAAAGCAAUACCGCGUGAGGGAUGAAGGCUUAUGAGUUGUAAACCUCUUUUCUCAAGGAGGAAGCUAUGACGUUACUUGAGGAAUAAGCAUCGGCUAACCCUGUGCCAGCAGCCGCGG
rnacentral:rRNA from 1 species